rnacentral:rRNA from 1 species
UAGAGUUUGAUCCUGGCUCAGGAUGAACGCUGGCGGCGUGCUAAUACAUGCAAGUCGAACGCACAGCGAAAGGUGCUUGCACCUUUCAAGUGAGUGGCGAACGGGUGAGUAACACGUGGAUAACCUACCUCAAGGUUGGGGAUAACAUUUGGAAACAGAUGCUAAUACCGAAUAAAACUUAGUAUCGCAUGAUACCAGGUUAAAAGGCGCUACGGCGUCACCUAGAGAUGGAUCCGCGGUGCAUUAGUUAGUUGGUGGGGUAAAGGCUUACCAAGACAAUGAUGCAUAGCCGAGUUGAGAGACUGAUCGGCCACAUUGGGACUGAGACACGGCCCAAACUCCUACGGGAGGCUGCAGUAGGGAAUCUUCCACAAUGGGCGAAAGCCUGAUGGAGCAACGCCGCGUGUGUGAUGAAGGCUUUCGGGUCGUAAAGCACUGUUGUAUGGGAAGAACAGCUAGAGUAGGGAAUGACUUUAGUUUGACGGUACCAUACCAGAAAGGGACGGCUAAAUACGUGCCAGCAGCCGCGGUAAUACGUAUGUCCCGAGCGUUAUCCGGAUUUAUUGGGCGUAAAGCGAGCGCAGACGGUUAAUUAAGUCUGAUGUGAAAGCCCGGAGCUCAACUCCGGAAAGGCAUUGGAAACUGGUUAACUUGAGUGCAGUAGAGGUAAGUGGAACUCCAUGUGUAGCGGUGGAAUGCGUAGAUAUAUGGAAGAACACCAGCGGCGAAGGCGGCUUACUGGACUGUAACUGACGUUGAGGCUCGAAAGUGUGGGUAGCAAACAGGAUUAGAUACCCUGGUAGUCCACACCGUAAACGAUGAACACUAGGUGUUAGGAGGUUUCCGCCUCUUAGUGCCGAAGCUAACGCAUUAAGUGUUCCGCCUGGGGAGUACGACCGCAAGGUUGAAACUCAAAG